rnacentral:sRNA from 1 species
AAUUAAAUUAGUAUUUGACUUUUUAAUCCUUAAAUACAUAAAUUAAUUUACUCUUUAAAAUUUAUUUCUAAUGGCAUACCUAUGUAAUUAUUUACAAAAAUUAAGGUUACAUUUAAAAUGUACUUCCCAAAUAAUAUAGUAGGAUAAAGUAAAAAUAUUUAAGUAAAAAAAAAAGUAGGAUUUGACUUGAGUUUUGUCUUUAUCUUACUACAUAACAAAAUAACAAAAGGUUAUAUAAGUCAUUUACUAAAAUCUCUAUUAGACAAAAAGUUGUAUUAGAGAGAAAAGAGAAAAGUGUAUAUUUCUCAUAUUUCUAAAAAAACUACCGACUUUGCAAAUUAUUUGUAGAAAAAGUGUUUACUUUCCAACUUAUCUCUAUUUUAAUUCGGUAGGAAACUAAAUUAUCAAUAUAAAAAAUUUGUAUAGUGAUGUUGCAUUUUCUCGAUCCAAUCUGUCGGGUUGUGAAUUUGCUAUAUUGUACAUGCGAUUUAACACAAACU